GACGGAGGAUGCAAGCGUUAUCCGGAAUGAUUGGGCGUAAAGCGUCCGCAGGUGGCAGUUCACGUCUGCUGUCAAAGACCGGGGCUUAACUUCGGAAAGGCAGUGGAAACUGAACAGCUAGAGUAUGGUAGGGGCAGAGGGAAUUCCUGGUGUAGCGGUGAAAUGCGUAGAUAUCAGGAGGAACACCGAUAGCGAAGGCAGCUCGCUGGGACGGUACUGACGCUGAGGUGCGAAAGCGUGGGGAGCGAACGGG
rnacentral:rRNA from 1 species